rnacentral:snoRNA from 1 species
UUGUUGUGAUGAGAUUCCACUUAGGUCCGUGUUUCUGAAACACAUGAUUUCUGUGGAAGUUCUGAUUCU